rnacentral:rRNA from 1 species
UCCGUAGGUGGAUAAUUAAGUCAGAGGUGAAAUCCUGCAGCUCAACUGUAGAAUUGCCUUUGAUACUGGUUAUCUUGAGUCAUUAUGAAGUGGUUAGAAUGUGUAGUGUAGCGGUGAAAUGCAUAGAUAUUACACAGAAUACCAAUUGCGAAGGCAGAUCACUAAUAAUGUACUGACACUGAGGGACGAAAGCGUGGGGAGCGAACAGGAUUAGAUACCCUGGUAGUCC